ACUAAGGAAGAUGUACGAGAGCUCAUAUAUAGAGAAAUUCUAGAGUACCAUCCUAAAAUGUUGAAAGAGUACUUAGAAGGUUCGGAGCCAACAGGAUUCAUGUAUCCAAGUGCUGUUGACCAUUUUAAGAAGCAAUUUACUUACCUUGAGGAGCACUAUGGAAAUGGUGCAACUGUUGCUCCGCCUGAGAGGCAGCAUGCAUCCUUGCCCAGGCCAUGCGUGUUAUAUUCAGAUAAUACAGUGCAGAAUUCAGUGGAAGUCACGAAUGAUCUUUCCAAAUGCUCUAUCAAAGAUAUUGAGAAGCCACACAUGGACCGAAGUGGUGGGAUCCCGAUGACAAGGCUUCCUCUUCAAGUUCCUGAAAGUAUUCAAGGUGCUCCAAGGCCUGGAAAAGUUAUUGGUUCAGUAAUGCGUUAUAACAAUUGUGGGGUGGCAGCAAAAGCAGAAGCUCUUGAACAGCGAAGGAUGGUGAGGAAUCCAGUUAUUUCAACUCAAUAUACUGCUGCUAACUGUUCAUAUCCUAGAAGGAAUCCAGGCUGUAAAAAUGAAAGGGGAGAAGAUGAGGGGGUUGAAGGCUCCAGUGGGUUGCAGCCAAAGCCACAGUACAUGGCAAGGAAAGUUGCUGCUGCUCAAGGUGGACCUGGGAAUAACUGGUAUUGAUAAUGUGGCAAACUUGAAUGCUUGACUGCCUAUAGCGUACCUAAUGGUGACAGUCACGGAAGCACGUUUAGUCGGAUUAUUCACAUAUUUCUAAUACUGUAAUUUAGUGGUGUUUUCUACCAGCUCAAUUGCAUGUGAAGAUUUGAGGGCUGGGACUUCUGUCGGAAGAUGUUACGCAGCAAAUUGUAAUUUAUAUCACUAAUUUACAGUUGAACAGGUUCUUUGGUGCUUACCAUUCGUGACCUUAUAGCUUUCUGAUUUAGCUCAAUAACCCAGAUACAGGGAUGUAUGAUAUCAUGAACGAGUAAAGGCAAAGGGAUCGGUUGACGUACCUUGUUCAUCUAUUCUUUUUAGUUCUGGAAGAUAGAAGUAAGCUAUUUCUUUCUUUUCUUGAGCCCAAUGAGGGAAACAUUGAGGGCAAUAAUUUGAUUGCAGGGUAGCACAGGCUAUUAGGUUGCAAUACAUAAUUGUAUUUAUCAAUGCUUCAUCUAUUCCAGAUGCCUUCAUGUAGUGGACUGAGAGAAUCGUUUUCAUUAUUCUUUCAUUCCACUACAUGAAGGCAUCUGGAAUAGAU
rnacentral:misc_RNA from 1 species